AACGAACGCUGGCGGCAUGCCUAACACAUGCAAGUCGAACGAGACCUUCGGGUCUAGUGGCGCACGGGUGCGUAACGCGUGGGAACCUGCCCUUAGGUUCGGAAUAACUCCCCGAAAGGGGUGCUAAUACCGGAUAAUGUCUUCGGACCAAAGAUUUAUCGCCUUUGGAUGGGCCCGCGUUGGAUUAGCUAGUUGGUAGGGUAAAAGCCUACCAAGGCGACGAUCCAUAGCUGGUCUGAGAGGAUGAUCAGCCACACUGGGACUGAGACACGGCCCAGACUCCUACGGGAGGCAGCAGUGGGGAAUAUUGGACAAUGGGCGAAAGCCUGAUCCAGCAAUGCCGCGGGGGUGAUGAAGGCCUUAGGGUUGUAAAGCUCUUUUACCCGGGAUGAUAAUGACAGUACCGGGAGAAUAAGCGCCGGCUAACUCCGUG
rnacentral:rRNA from 1 species